CUAGUCGCGUGAUGUUAGUGCGAGCCGGGUACGCGCCCGGCAUCUAGUUUGUUCCUGAUCGUCGGCGGGUAGGCGCGUGUACCUCGUGGCUAGCCAUGUUUCUUGAGUAUUUAAUUCAGUGUGUGUUAUAUUUGAUCGACAUUUGCUAGCAGAAUAUUGGUGAAAUGCAAGUCAAUUCUCGUAUUGCCCAUAUGGAUAUCGUCAGUGAUCAACUGAGGAAUUUUGCACUUGAGUCUGACAUCGUAGAACCACCAUUCUUUCAUUUGAUUGACUUAUUUCUGCUGGUUUUAAGGAUUUUGCACCUGAGUCUGACAUUGUACAAGGACCAUUUUUGCAUUAGAUUAAAUUGACCCACAAAAUGGCAUUUUUAUGUUUGAAGGACCAAUUUUUGCUGGUUUUAAGGAUUUUGCACCUGAGUCUGACUUUGUAGAAGGACCAUUUUUACAUCAUGUUUUAUUUUGAAGGACCAAUUUUUGAAGGUUUUAAGGAUUAUGCACCUGAGUCUGACACCCUAGAAGGACCAAUUUUACAUUAUGUUGACCAAUUUCUGCUGGUAUUAAGGAUUUUGCACCUGAGUCUGACUUCGUAGAAGAACCAUUUUUGCAUCAUAUUGACCAAUUUCUGCUGGUUUUAAAGAUUUUUCACCUGAAUCUAACGACGUAGAAGGACCAUUUCAUCAUCAGAUUGACCAAUUUUUGAAGGUUUUAAGGAUUUUGCACCUGAGUCUUACAUCGUAGAAAGACCAUUUUUGCAUCAUAUUGACCAAUUUUUAAAGGUUUUAAGGAUUUUGCACCUGAGUAUGACAUCGUAUAAGGACCAGUCUAUCAUCAGAUUGACCAAUUUUUAAAGGUUUUAAGGAUUUUGCACCUGAGUAUGUCAUCGUAUAAGGACCAUUCUAUUAUCAGAUUGGAUUUUGCACCUGAGUCUGACAUCGUUGAAGGACCAUUCUUGCAUCAGAUUUAUAAAUAAACAACGUCGGUGGCUGUAGAAGAAGUUUAGGAGCACUUGGGCCAAGGAGUCUACCGCUUCCGCCGCAGAAAUGUUAGAGAUGUGCGUAUUACAAGGCAAGUUUUGCUUUCAGGAGAUUUAAGAGCUGUCUAUGAUUUCCGAUUUUAAAAACCUGUAUGUAGUUUUUAAUGUUGCUAGUAAAACAAAAUGUAAUAUUA